rnacentral:rRNA from 1 species
AUUGAACGCUGGCGGCAGGCCUAACACAUGCAAGUCGAACGAGUGGCGGACGGGUGCGUAAUAUCUGGGCAACUGCCUGAUGGAGGGGGAUACCUACUGGAAACGGUAGCUAAUACCGCAUACCCUCAGAUCUUCCCAGGUGGGAUUAGCUGGGGGGUGGGGUAACGGCUCACCUGGGCGACGAUCCCUAGCUGGUCUGAGAGGAUGACCAGCCACACUGGAACGGAGACACGGCCCAGACUCCUACGGGAGGCAGCAGUGGGGAAUAUGGCACAAUGGGCGCAAGCCUGAUGCAGCCAUGCCGCGUGUAUGAAGAAGGCCUUCGGGUUGUAAAGUACUUUCAGCGGGGAGGCGGUACCCGCAGAAGAAGCACCGGCUAACUCCGUGCCAGCAGCCGCGGUAAUAC